CUACGGGGGGCUCCAGUGAGGAAUAUUGCAUAAUGGGGGGAACCCUGAUGCAGCAACGCCGCGUGGAGGAUGACGCAUUUCGGUGUGUAAACUCCUUUUAUAUGUCAAGAAAAUGACGGUAGCAUAUGAAUAAGCACCGGCUAACUCCGUGCCAGCAGCCGCGGUAAUACGGAGGGUGCAAGCGUGUACUCGGAAUCACUGGGCGUAAAGGAUGCGUAGGCGGGUUGGAAAGUCAGGUGUGAAAUCCUACAGCUUAACUGUAGAACUGCACUUGAAACUUCUAAUCUAGAGUAUGGGAGGGGGAGAUGGAAUUAGUGGUGUAGGGGUAAAAUCCGUAGAUAUCACUAGGAAUACCUAAAGCGAAGGCGAUCUCCUGGAACAUUACUGACGCUAAGGCGUGAAAGCGCGGGGAGCAAACAGGAUUAGAUACCCCCGUAGUC
rnacentral:rRNA from 1 species